GAAAUUGCUGAAUUCAAUUGUUUAUCAAAUUAUGUUAAGCUAAAAAAUCGCAAGCGGCACCGACCGUCUAUGCUAUUGGAAAAGCCAAAGAACAGCUAAAAGAGAACAUCUUCUAGUCGAGCCGGCCCACUUGUUGGUACAGUGUUCUCUCUCAGUUGGCUCCAUUACUGCAAUUACUGCAGCUGCACGUAAAA